rnacentral:rRNA from 1 species
GAUGAACGCUAGCUACAGGCUUAACACAUGCAAGUCGAGGGGCAGCAUGAUUGAAGCUUGCUUCCAUCGAUGGCGACCGGCGCACGGGUGAGUAACACGUAUCCAACCUGCCGAUAACUCGGGGAUAGCCUUUCGAAAGAAAGAUUAAUACCCGAUAGUAUAGUAUUUCCGCAUGGUUUCACUAUUAAAGAACUUCGGUUAUCGAUGGGGAUGCGUUCCAUUAGAUAGUUGGCGGGGUAACGGCCCACCAAGUCAACGAUGGAUAGGGGUUCUGAGAGGAAGGUCCCCCACAUUGGAACUGAGACACGGUCCAAACUCCUACGGGAGGCAGCAGUGAGGAAUAGUGGUCAAUGGACGAGAGUCUGAACCAGCCAAGUAGCGUGAAGGAUGACUGCCCUAUGGGUGGUAAACUUCUUUUAUACGGGAAUAAAGUGGAGUAUGCAUACUCCUUUGUAUGUACCGUAUGAAUAAGGAUCGGCUAACUCCGUG